CGGACGGGUGAGUAAUGUCUGGGAAACUGCCCGAUGGAGGGGGAUAACUACUGGAAACGGUAGCUAGUACCGCAUAACGUCGCAAGACCAAAGAGGGGGACCUUCGGGCCUCUUGCCAUCGGAUGUGCCCAGAUGGGAUUAGCUAGUAGGUGGGGUAACGGCUCACCUAGGCGACGAUCCCUAGCUGGUCUGAGAGGAUGAUCAGCCACACUGGAACUGAGACACGGUCCAG
rnacentral:rRNA from 1 species